CAGUCGCCGCGGGAAUGCGAGGGGGGCAAGCGUUGUUCGGAUUUAUUGGGCGUAAAGGGUGCGUAGGCGGUUUGGCAAGUUUGGUGUGAAAUCUUCGGGCUCAACUCGAAGUCUGCAUCAAAAACUGCCGGGCUUGGGUAUGGGAGAGGUGAGUGGAAUUUCCGGUGUAGCGGUGAAAUGCGUAGAUAUCGGGAGGAACACCUGUGGCGAAAGCGGCUCACUGGACCAUAACUGACGCUGAGGCACGAAAGCUAGGGGAGCAAACAGGAUUAGAUACCCGAGUAGUCCCUGUCUCUUAUAC
rnacentral:rRNA from 1 species